GAUGAAGAACGUAGCGAAAUGCGAUACGUAGUGUGAAUUGCAGAAUUCAGUGAAUCAUCGAAUCUUUGAACGCACAUUCCACCUCUCGGUAUUCCGGGAGGUAUGCCUGUUCGAGCGUCAUUUGUACCCUCAAGCUCUGCUUGGUGUUGGGUGUUUGUUCCGCCUCUGUGUGUGAACUCGCCUCAAAACAAUUGGCAGCCGGCGUACUUGUUUCGGAGCGCAGCACAUUUUGCGAUCCAGAUCAACGUACAGCGGCAUCCAAGAAGCCUUAUUUAACGCUCUUGACCUCGGAUCAGGUAGGGAUACCCGCUGAACUUAAGCAUAUCAAUAAGCGGAGGA
rnacentral:misc_RNA from 1 species